rnacentral:rRNA from 1 species
UACAGAGGGUGCGAGCGUUAAUCGGAAUUACUGGGCGUAAAGCGUGCGUAGACGGCUAUCUAAGUCGGGUGUGAAAGCCCCGGGCUCAACCUGGGAAUUGCAUUCGAGACUGAAUAGCUAGGGUACGGUAGAGGGAAGUGGAAUUUCCGGUGUAGCGGUGAAAUGCGUAGAUAUCGGAAGGAACAUCAGUGGCGAAAGCGACUUCCUGGACCAGUACCGACGUCAGGCACGAAAGCCGUGGGGAGCAAACAGGGA